UGGGAAACGCAGUUACAACAUAACAAUGACUUAUUGUUACAUCAGCUGGGUUAGGGCACAAGAGAAAGUUCCGAGCACAGAGAACUGCAUAUGUGAAGGUGUGGCCUCAUGAAACCACAGCACACUGUUAGGAGCUACCAGCCUGUCACAAGUGGGUGUGAAGGUUGCCUAGAGGAGACUACCAGGAGAUAACACUGAAGGGGUGGAUUAGGAAAGCCCUUGUGCACCAUCUUGAACUUUACCUUGAAUGCAAUGGAGAGCUGUGAAAGGGCUUUAAGCAAGGCCCAGGCCUCACUGAAUCUGUGGUUUAGAAAGAACUCUCUGGUUACAAGAUGGAGCAUGGAUGCAAGCGAGAGAAACUCUGCUUCAACCUCUCCAGAGACUAGAAACCUCUCAACUCAUGUCAGUGUGGAUGAUGGGCAGGGCCUCAGCUGUGCAGGAUGAAGGAGAAAACGGAAGACAAAUGCUUCCUAAGCAGACUCCCAGCUGAGUUUUUAUAGCCCCACCUUUGCUGCAAUUCCUGGAACCAUCAAUUCCUGAGUAUUUGGGGUGUUCUGCAGUGUAAUAAGUUUGCUUUUCACCUCCCACUCUACCAGCUGAGAAGAAGUCUGCAUUUUUGGAUCUGCAAAGUCAGCUGAAUGUGUCCUCCUCCCUCCAGCUUCCAGGACUGUGUUGUUCUUGUCUCCUCCAUCAUUUUCUUUGUCCUUGUGGGCGUAUGCUCUGUUUAAGCCCCAUUGCUGUUAUUUUUGUUGGCUUUCAAGAGGAAAAGGAGAUAAAUGAAAGUAGUCAAUCUUGUCUUUACCCAAAGUCCUUCACAGGAUUUUACCCAAAAGUCCUCUAAAAAGAUUUGGUUGAGUACUAGUUGCUGAUAAUGCUGAGCUGCUUGUGUUUGUAAAGACAGAUGUGGCCUCAUUGUGACUAUUUCAGGUUUAUGGGUCAUGUUUUUUCUUUCUGUUCUAAAGAAAGCUUCCUAUUUCAAAAUAAUUUUCUUUAAAAAAAAAAAACAGCACAUCCCCAGUCAUGACCCCCAGAAUAAAAUAUGGAGACUCUCCCUUUUCUGACUUCUCAGAUGUAUAUUAAUUAGAAAGUACCCUCAAGAAACAGUGGAGCUCUAAAUCGGAUUCAUUUCUAUAUUCAGUGUAACAUAAUCAAGUUGUCAGAAUUUUUACAAUGCUUCUAAUGAAGUGCCCAGCAUAAUGAAUUGUACAAUUAUAAUAAAAUGGGGUUCUAAUUAACAAUUACCAUUCAAAGCAAGAACACUCCAGGUUUUUUUUAUCCUCCUCUCAAACUGGAGGCUAACAAGUAGUUAGGAAAAAAAUUAACAGGGGGUAUGUGUGGAAAGGAGCACAGUACUCGAAAUGACUAACAAAGCUAGUUUUUCCUCUAAGUUUGUAAGUGACAGUAUAACUUGAGAGAAUAUAUUCUCAGGUAUGGUUGCAGGAACUUUUCUGAUCAUCUGAGCUUUCCCAGAUAUGAUAUGGUGGUGUAUAAACUUGGGUGUUUAAGCACGAAUUAAUGACUUACUAACAAUAGCUUUCAAUUGAGUCUCAUCCAAGGAGUCAUAUCCUUCCCUUCUGUCCUGUGAAUUCAUGGUAUCAAGUGACAAUAAGAGGGUAAAUGGACCAGAGGUUCUUUGCUGCCAUCAAGGGUCUGAGGGAGAAAAAGUCUACGAAUCACUGUAGUCAUUAAAAUAAAAGCUGCUGGCCAGGUGCAGUGGCUCACGCCUGUAAUUCCAGCACCUUGGAAGGCUGAGGCUGGCAGAUCACUAGAGUUCAGGACUUAGAGACCAGCCUGGGCAAGAGGGUAAAACCCCAUCUCUGCAAAAAAAAUACAAAAAUUAGCCGGUUUUGGUGGUGUGUGCCUGUAGUCUCAGCUACUUCUGGGGGCCGAGGCCGGAGAAUCAAUUCAGCCCGGGAGGUUGAGGCUGCAGAUCACGCCACUACACUCCAGCCUGGGUGACAAAGUGAGACCCUGUCUCAAAAAACAAAGAAAAAUACAUAAAUAAAAUAAAAUAAAAUAAAAGCUGCCCUUUCCUGAAAGGACCAGUAAGCAUUAUGCUAGAUAAUUCAGCGUGCAUUAUUUAGUAUUUUCACAACCCGCGAGGUGUAUAUUUUACAGAUGAGAAAAGCUAAAGCUUAAAGAUGCUCAGAGGUCAAAGUCAUAACCAAAAAGAACCCGAGCCUGGUGUGGCGAGCUCCAAACUCUAGCUGGCCCUCUAGAGAAAACACUGUCUCAGCUUGAUUCUGGCUUUGGCGCUGAUCCAUUUUGCAGCCUGCAGCAAGCCAUUUGCUCACUGCUUUCUGGAACCUGCUUUGUGAAACUCCGGGGGGCACCGGUGAUGAUCUAUCCUAGAGUUUUAUAAUGCGAGAGCUCUGCUUUCACCAUCUGCUUUUCUCAUUGGGAUGCAAAAAAAUGGUGAAAAUUACCAUUGUGGUUGGUUAUGAUGUUUCUGUUUCAAGUAACGAAACUCCCAACUGGACAGUUUAUAAAAGGAGAGAGAGAAAGAGAGAGAGAGAAAGAGAGAGAAAGAGAGAGAAAGAGAGAGAAA
rnacentral:lncRNA from 1 species